AUAUAAAAAAAUAUAAUUAUUUAUUAAAUAUAUAAAAGUAUAAGUUUUUUAAAAUCAAUUUAUUUUAAAACCGAAAGGGUAAUUAAUUUUUUUUUUUAAAGUAAAUGUUUGUACCUUUAGCAUAAGGGAUUUUCAAAAAAAGAUAAAGUUUUAUUUUUUUCGAAAUUAAUUGAUCUAUUUAAUUUAAAUAUAAAAUUAUAUUUAAAAAUAUUUUAAAAAAUUAAAUAGAAGUGAAAUUCUUAUCAAAAUUAAAGAUAUCUAAUUUUAAAAAAAAAUUAAAAAUUUUCUUAUGACAUAAAUAUUUAUUAAAUAUCCUUAUAAGUAAAUUCAUAAGGGAUAAGCUUUAUGAAUUAAUUAUAUAAAUUUAUUUUUUCUUUAAAUAAGAAAUAGAAUUUUUCUAUUAUUGUUAUAAAUAAUUUUUUUUUUAUAAAUAAAAAAUAAUAUUUUUUUUAAAAUUAAAAACCUAUUUAAAUUUCAAUAAUGAGAAUAUUAGUAAAAUGUUUAAUUUUUUUUUAAAAUAAAAUUUUAUUAUUAAUGAAAAUUAAAAUAAUUUUAAAGAACUAGGCAAAAAAUUUUUUUGACUGUUUAUUAAAAACAAUGUAUUUAGAAAGUUAUUAAAUAUAAAUCCUGCUCAAUGAAAAUUAAAUUGCUGUAGUAUUUUGACUAUACAAAGGUAUUGUAAUAAGACUUUAAUUGAGUGCUAAGAGAAUGGAUUUUCAAAAAAAUUCUUUUUUAAAUUUAAAAAUUGAAGUUAUUUUUAUUUGUGAAGAAACAAUAAUAAAAAUUAAAGACAAGAAGACCCUAUGAAUUUUUAUAAAUUUUAUAAUAAAUUUUAUAAUAAAAUUUAUUUAAUUGGGGCGAUUUAAAAAUAUUUUAAACUUUUCAUUUUAAAAAAAUGAUCCAUUAAUAGUGAUUAUAUGAAAUAAAUACUCUAGGGAUAACAGCGUAAUAAUUUUAGAUAGAUCUUAUAGAAAAAAUAGUUUGCGACCUCGAUGUUGGAUUAGGAUUCUUAUUUAAUGAAGAAGUUAAAAAAAGAAGUUUGUUCAACUUUUAAAUUCCUACAUGAUCUGAGUUUAGACCGAUGUGAAUCAGGUUGGUUUCUAUCUUAAUUUUAAGUAAAUUUUAAUUAGUACGAAAGGAAUUUUAAAAUAAAAUUUUUUUAUUAAUAAACAGUUUUUGCAUCAAUUUUUGGAAUUAUUAAAGUGACAGAUAAAAUGUGAGGAAUUUAAGCUUCCUU
rnacentral:rRNA from 1 species